GCGAGUUCUUCCUCUUCUACGCGGCAAACCGCCCGUGUUACGUUUAUUAUGAUAGAUGCAACAAACGAGCCGCGUCUGUCAUGAUCCGUCACCGCGACAGCAAGUAGACUUUUAACCUGAACUAUAAGGAGUGGAAUCAGGAGAGCAAUUACAGAAAACCGGGAUGGAUUUGACCCAUUUUCUUUGCAAGGACGAUGACCAGAGGGGAGAAGGCUACUCGUGUUACAUAAGGUUAUCCCAGCAGCCAAGUGAAUCUGGAGCACAAAUGAAUUAAGGGAGAAUUAAGGAGCCUGUGCAAAGUGAAGCCUUUCCAAAUCUCGGCACAGAUGAAAGGAAUGCAGCAAAAGAAUGGAAACGGAGGGAAACGGCUGGCCUAAAUCUUCCCACAGGGUGUUAACAGACGUAGUCGCUGUGAUGCAGACACCGCUCGCACACCAUAAUCACAAACAUGCGGGCUCGCACACAUGCUGUAUAUACGUGCCCGCCGCUCACCUUGGUCUCCAGCAUAUACAGAGCAGUUGCAGACGAGCGGAGGAGUGGAAAUGAGGAGAGCAGAGGAGCAGUGAUGUUCGGCGCUGAACGUGUUGAGCCAGAGGUCAGCCCAACUCCGGUGAAACCCAGAAACACACACACACACACACACACACACACACACACACACACACACACACUCACAUUGUGUGCUUGUAAAAUGUUGUGUUCAUUUACUGAAAAACACUGGAAUUUGAAUAACCCCCGGUCAUGAAAACAAACCUUGUGAAUACUGAAAGAUUGUGAUGCCUUUAUUAAGAAUUGACUGCUUUUGAGUUCAUCUGAAUCGUCUGUAUGAUGUCCAUGAAACUUGUAAUAUGUUGUGAAUGCUAAUGGCUCAGUGGGCAGUGAUAAGUGAUGAAACGUCUUUGAAUGCUGCUCUGUCCUUGGCUGACUGGUGGAUGCCGUUUCUUUAUGGAUAUUCACUGUACUCUGAAAAUUAACAAAACUUGGCAGGUAUCAACAGCGUCGAAAGCGUUAAGCACUCCUCUGUGUUCUUUGCAGCCCUUGAACUUUAAAAAAAAAAAAAAAAAAAAAAAAAACGGAGCGGAUUGAAGAAGCAUAAGAGACUGAAG